rnacentral:rRNA from 1 species
UACGGAAGGCAGCAGGGGGAAUAUUGCACAAUGGGCGAAAGCCUGAUGCAGCUAUGCCGCGUGUAUGAAGAAGGCCUUAGGGUUGUAAAGUACUUUCAUCGGGGAGGAAAAAACAAAACUAAUAAUUUUAUUUCUUGACGUUACCCGAAAAAGAAGCACCGGCUAACUCCGUGCCAGCAGCCGCGGUAAUACGGAGGGUGCUAGCGUUAAUCAGAAUUACUGGGCGUAAAGAGCACGUAGGUGGUUUUUUUAAAGUUCAGAUGUGAAAUCCCUGGGCUUUAACCUAGGAACUGCAUUUUGAAACUGAAAUACUAGAGUAUCGUAGAGGGAGGUAGAAUUCUAGGUGUAGCGGUGAAAUGCGUAGAUAUCUGGAGGAAUACCUGUGGCGAAAGCGGCCUCCUAAACGAAUACUGACACUGAGGGUGCGAAAGCGUGGGGAGCAAACAGGGAUUAGAUACC